UACGGAGGGUGCGAGCGUUGUUCGGAAUCAUUGGGCGUAAAGGGCGCGUAGGUGGCCCAGUCAGCGUGCGGUGAAAGCUCGGGGCUCAACCCCGAGUCGGCCGUGCGAACUACUGGGCUGGAGCACUGUAGAGGCAGGCGGAAUUCCGGGUGUAGCGGUGGAAUGCGUAGAGAUCCGGAGGAAUACCGGUGGCGAAGGCGGCAUCCUGGACCGACAUUGACGCUGAACGGCGAAAGCUAGGGGAGCAAACGGG
rnacentral:rRNA from 1 species